ensembl:antisense Gm15689 uncharacterized LOC110290819
AAACAGAAACCAAGCCGCUGAGUCUGAGAUGUUCUUUAAAAUAUAACGAGGACCUGUGUUUGGCUCACACUGGUUUCUCCAGUUCUAGAGGAUCAUCUUUCUUCUGAACCACACAGGCACAAAACACAGAUCAUCAUGUUUAUGCAGCUGGUCCUGUGAUUUGACGAAAGAGUUAACGCUGCUGAUGAGCAAGAACAUAGAUUGUGAACCUCUGACUUUGCAUCACACCUGUGUGGAUGGAAACAAUGGCCAGCCUGCACUCAAUGUACUGGAUAAAGUGUACUGACACGAAGGACAAGAUGCCCAACCGAUCGAAGAAGAUGGAAAGGGUACGGAUCACCUACAGCAAAGUGCACAGUUGCUUAAUGUUUCCCAAUGUCACCUCCCCUACCGCUGGAAAUCAGGAUGCUUGACACCCGGACACCAAAUUAUUAAAGUUUCAAGCAGUGACACUUUCUUCUCCACGUGGGGCCUGGCUUCUCCUUGACACUUUGUCCCUACAGUCCCUUCAGGCCCCUUGGCCUUUCCUCCCUGCCUUUAACCUCCAUAACUAAUUAGAUCUGGCCAACUCUUCAGUGAAAAUAGUUUGCUUCAAAGUUUUCAUUCAGUGUUCCCUUCUGGGCAUACUUUGUCACGUCAGUCCAGCCUGCCCUUUCUACAUGAAGUUUAAAAGGCUGAGCUAUUUUUAUAACAUUAAACAACAACAACAAAAAAAACCAACAAAAAACCCAUCUUUGAAGAUCUCCACCUACCUCAAUGCUUUACAUAAGGACUAGAGUGUCAAGUCUGACAAAAGCUUCACAAGCCAUGAAAUUAUUAGUUUCAGAAGUUUAUGGAUAAACAAACAGUUCUAAGGAUUCUGGUCUUAUUUGCGGGAGGGAGUUAAAAUUUAAUGAUUUGUUGUCUGCUAGCAGUUUUAUUUGGGAUCCAUUUACCUUCCGCACUAAAAAAGUAGACAAUGAAACUAACCAACCCACCCACCAACCAAUCAAUCAGCCAACAACCAACCAACGAACCAAAGACUGAGGAAUAUAGUUGGACUCAUCUUCAGUAAGUUUCUUUGGAAAUCUUGUUAGACGUCACAAUUAAGCAGCAUCAUUAAUGUCAUCUCUAUUUCGGAAAAGACAAAGGUGAAGCUGAAGACAAUAGAGAGUUAAUUUUC